ensembl:lncRNA
UCUAAAGCCAAACAGUUGUGGUUUGGGAUUCAAAAGUCAAAUGUUUAUUUCAUUACUGUCUGAUUUUCCAGACCUUCUCUGCACAAUGCCAACAGUAGCGAACAGAUUUUGCAUCCAAAUCUUUAGGGCAUAUUACAGAUAAUGGUUAGAGCAUGCAUGGCAGGUAUGAAUUUUAUUGAUAAAUAAUAUCACCGUGAUGUCACGCACUGGUUUGUAGACUUACUGUUAGCAUUUUGUCACUGAUGAUGCUGUUUUGUUUUUGUUUAGUUUUUUUUGUUGUUGUGGAAGCCAGGUGUGCCCAAGGGCGCAACGCAGAGUUGCACAUACCUCCUCAUUAGGACUUAAAAGUAAAAGACUAGAAUUUUACUCAUCCAAACCACACCACAAUAUCUGUAUCUCACAGUAGGUCACAUUAUUUGCCAGAAAAAUUAUUAAAAAGGUAAAAGACUAACACCACAAAGCCUAAAAGUCCACUCCAAUUAGUGUCUAGGACUGUGAGCCCUAGACAGCUUUCAGGUAUACCAGUGGAUGUAUUAAACAACUAAAUUACCUACUCCACAGUUCCAGAAAGGCCAAAACAAGUUUCAUGUCAGGCUGUAAACGUGGUUUUUAGUGCUGUUAAGUUGGGCGUUUUAACAUGGAAGUAAAUUCGAUUUUCGUAUUUUUGGCUAAAGCCUCAAGUGGUCACUCCAGGAACUGCAUUUCGGCUUCAUUUUUUUUUUUUUUUUUUUUUUUUUAGCCGCUGAGUUUAUCUAUGACACAUUUAGAUAGAUUUGCAAUCAUUGCUGUAGCAUAUUGUUCUCUUUUUCAGAGUCAUAUGCAUCAUUGUAUUGCGCUAUUACUGGGGUGGGCGAUAUGGUUACAAUUUUCUUGUCAAAAUACUGAAUAAAUCACGAUGAUGUUUUUUGAAAAACCAGAGGUGCAAUCCUUAUCCUAUCAGGAAUGUCUUUUUUUUCCUAAUCCUGCAAAUGCAUAACAAUACAACUUAUCUAAACAUUUAAAAUCCACAAUUAAUAUACAGUAUAAUUUAUUAUUAUUCAUAAAGCUGACUUGGAAUUGUGCGCACAGAAUCGUCACUCUAAAAGAAGAGCUUCUAAGGUUUACAGGUU